rnacentral:rRNA from 1 species
AGCGGCGGACGGGUGAGUAACACGUGGGCAACCUGCCUGUAAGACUGGGAUAACUCCGGGAAACCGGGGCUAAUACCGGAUAACUUCUUUUCCCGCAUGGGGAGAGGUUGAAAGACGGUUAUGCUGUCACUUACAGAUGGGCCCGCGGCGCAUUAGCUAGUUGGUGGGGUAACGGCCUACCAAGGCGACGAUGCGUAGCCGACCUGAGAGGGUGAUCGGCCACACUGGGACUGAGACACGGCCCAGACUCCUACGGGAGGCAGCAGUAGGGAAUCUUCCGCAAUGGACGAAAGUCUGACGGAGCAACGCCGCGUGAGUGACGAAGGCCUUCGGGUCGUAAAACUCUGUUAUCAGGGAAGAACAAGCAUCGUUUAACUGACGGUGCCAUGACGGUACCUGACCAGAAAGCCACGGCUAACUACGUGCCAGCAGCCGCGGUAAUACGUAGGUGGCAAGCGUUGUCCGGAAUUAUUGGGCGUAAAGCGCGCGCAGGCGGCUUCUUAAGUCUGAUGUGAAAGCCCACGGCUCAACCGUGGAGGGUCAUUGGAAACUGGGAGGCUUGAGUGCAGAAGAGGAGAGCGGAAUUCCACGUGUAGCGGUGAAAUGCGUAGAGAUGUGGAGGAACACCAGUGGCGAAGGCGGCUCUCUGGUCUGUAACUGACGCUGAGGCGCGAAAGCGU